UGGGGAAUAUUGGACAAUGGGCGAAAGCCUGAUCCAGCCAUGCCGCGUGUGUGAAGAAGGUCUUCGGAUUGUAAAGCACUUUAAGUUGGGAGGAAGGGCAGUAAGCGAAUACCUUGCUGUUUUGACGUUACCGACAGAAUAAGCACCGGCUAACUCUGUGCCAGCAGCCGCGGUAAUACAGAGGGUGCAAGCGUUAAUCGGAAUUACUGGGCGUAAAGCGCGCGUAGGUGGUUCGUUAAGUUGAAUGUGAAAGCCCCGGGAUCAACCUGGGAACUGCAUCCAAAACUGGCGAGCUAGAGUAGGGCAGAGGGUGGUGGAAUUUCCUGUGUAGCGGUGAAAUGCGUAGAUAUAGGAAGGAACACCAGUGGCGAAGGCGACCACCUGGGCUCAUACUGACACUGAGGUGCGAAAGCGUGGGGAGCAAACAGG
rnacentral:rRNA from 1 species